GGCAAGGGGCCACAGUCUGUCCUGGGAGGCUCCUUCCAAGCAGAACUCUGGGUGCGCAGGGCCCACCACACCCCAUUCCCCAGAAUAAGCGGGGUGCUGCCUGGCACUUUGUCAGGGGUUCACAUUAAAGUGUGGUGGCUCUUUGGUUAGUUGGUGCCCUUGGGCUGAGCCACUGCAGGCUCACUCUGUGCAGGGCCCAGCCAUGACAGUCACUGUAUAGGGGCACGGAGACGGUGGCCACCCAAGAGGUUUGGGGGAGCUGGAGGUUGAAAGGGCUGCCUGGACCUCCCAGGGUCGUUCCCAGCACCCGCGGGACAGUGACCUUGGCCUUGCUGCUUGGGCUCUGGAGAUUUACAAGGUGGAAGUGAGGAGAGGCCAGUUGUGACUAUUCAGUGGCAGGGUUUUAUAGAUCUCUUCCCACCCUCCCUGCUGUCUGGGAGACUGAUCACCCGAUAGGCAUUCCUGUUCCAGUCGGAUAACUAGACGGUGUGAGAAAGGCCGGCAGCCGAGCCUGGGGUGGAAGGAAACCACCGUAAAGCCACAGAUGUCCCAAGACCAACUUGGCACGUGUGCAUGUGCGCACCCCACCCCAGCAGCCCCCAUGGGAGGCCCAGCCUGAGA
rnacentral:lncRNA from 1 species